rnacentral:lncRNA from 1 species
UUCGAACGUGGGUGAUGAAUUCUGUGUUCUGAUCAGUUACUCAGGAGGCGCCCGAAUGUGAGGGGGUGGGAGUGUGGGAGGGGGCUGCCUCCUCUCUUCUCUUUCCCUCUGGCUGCUCUCCUCCCCUCUCCCCCCUCCUUCUCUCUCCCCCCUCCCUUCUUCCCUCCCCUCCCUUUUUCAGCAUCUCCCCUACCCUUUCUUUCUCUUCUCUCCCUCUCUCCCCUCCCUCUCUCCCCCUCCCGCUCUCUUCUCCCUCUCCCUACAAGUCUGGCACUGAAGGAGAACUGUUUUGCUUUGCUCCGGGAAGAGUGCAGACACGACGUGAAAUCCGGAGCUCUUUGCGUGGUGCAUUUAAAAUGCUUCCUUAUUUAUAUUACCCUCAUCCCCUCCCCUCUCCCACCCCCUCACCAGCCCUUCCAAAUUUCCCUAGAAAUCUGUGUAAAGCGUGGAGGGGAAAACAUUUGCAUAAAAAGUGAAGGAGCACGCCAAGGAGCACCAAAGACCAAGAGGAGACCAGAUGAGUUUUCAGAGCAGUUCUCAGACACCCAGGACGCAUGUCAUCCUUUGCCUCGUGCUUUCUGCAAUGUUGCUGCUCACCUUCAUCUUUCUAUUAACCCUCGCCAUAACGAUCCCCCCUGACACCACCACCUCUUCUCCAUUAAUCACCCACUCAGCUCUCUCUGAGGUGUCUCUCCCAUGGGGCAUGGCUUUGUCUCUGGCAGGCUCCCCUUGAAUCAUAUCCAGAUGGCUACCAUUUACUUCCUUUUCCUCUGUCUCCUCUUCACACCAGACUCAGUUAACACUCAGUCCCUUGGUCAGGAAAACCGGAGAAAAAGUUCCCUUUUCUAAAAAGGAAGUCAGAGCGUGCUCUGCUGGAGCCACCAUGCUCAGGGAAGAGACCCAAAAUACAGCUGAGUGUGAUGUCAUUGAAACCAGAUGGAAAGACCAGAAAUCCCUUAAUCCCAGUCAGACCUAGUGAAGCUUUACUUGUGACUGUUGGGACUGAUUAAGAAUAUGGGGGCAGGGAGGAAGAGAGGGAGAAAGAUGUUCUGAAUUGGAUUGCCCUUCAAUACAGAAUGGAAUCCCCUAGAUUUUUUUGUCCUCCAAUUAAAUGUGCAUUUCAUUCUACCACAUUGUGAUGGCUUCACUGUAGAUGUUUCCUCUGGAGACCCAAGGCUUUUUUUCUUCAUGGGUCACAAGACCACAAGCCACCAGAUGAUGAGGUAAGUGACAGUGUCUCAGAAAUGACCUCAGAAAUCCAGUGCUGAUGAAAACCCACCUUAGGAGACAGCAAGGUUUGUCCCCUGUUCAGUCCCUCUUGACUUGAGCCCUUGCAGGGAACCCCAGAACAGCGAGGAAUUUUAGUGGGGCUCCACACCAUUCUGGGAAGCAAAGCUGAUGCUGAAGAUUGGUUACAUCAGAAGUUGGGAAUGUCAUUGAAUCAAUCUCUCUCUCUCUCUCUCUCUCUCUCUCUCUCUCUCUCUCUUUAAAAAAAAUCAGACAGGCCUUACUGGCACAUUCCUAUAAGCCCAACUACAUGGGAAACUGAGGCACAAAGAUUGUCAUUUCAAGACCUACCUGGGCAACAGAAUGAGUUUAGGGCCAGCCCAGGUGACUUAGUA